GGAGAGAUGGCUCAGUGGUUAAGAGCAUUGACUGUUCUUCCAGAGGUUCUGAGUUCAGUUCUCAGCGACUACA
rnacentral:tRNA from 1 species